CCAUAGGUUAAUGAGGCGAACCGGGGGAACUGAAACAUCUAAGUACCCCGAGGAAAAGAAAUCAACCGAGAUUCCCCCAGUAGCGGCGAGCGAACGGGGAGGAGCCCAGAGCCUGAAUCAGUGUGUGUGUUAGUGGAAGCGUCUGGAAAGGCGCGCGAUACAGGGUGACAGCCCCGUACACAAAAAUGCACAUACUGUGAGCUCGAUGAGUAGGGCGGGACACGUGGUAUCCUGUCUGAAUAUGGGGGGACCAUCCUCCAAGGCUAAAUACUCCUGACUGACCGAUAGUGAACCAGUACCGUGAGGGAAAGGCGAAAAGAACCCCGGCGAGGGGAGUGAAAAAGAACCUGAAACCGUGUACGUACAAGCAGUGGGAGCCUCUUAAUGGGGUGACUGCGUACCUUUUGUAUAAUGGGUCAGCGACUUAUAUUCUGUAGCAAGGUUAACCGAAUAGGGGAGCCGAAGGGAAACCGAGUCUUAACUGGGCGUUAAGUUGCAGGGUAUAGACCCGAAACCCGGUGAUCUAGCCAUGGGCAGGUUGAAGGUUGGGUAACACUAACUGGAGGACCGAACCGACUAAUGUUGAAAAAUUAGCGGAUGACUUGUGGCUGGGGGUGAAAGGCCAAUCAAACCGGGAGAUAGCUGGUUCUCCCCGAAAGCUAUUUAGGUAGCGCCUCGUGAAUUCAUCUCCGGGGGUAGAGCACUGUUUCGGCAAGGGGGUCAUCCCGACUUACCAACCCGAUGCAAACUGCGAAUACCGGAGAAUGUUAUCACGGGAGACACACGGCGGGUGCUAACGUCCGUCGUGAAGAGGGAAACAACCCAGACCGCCAGCUAAGGUCCCAAAGUCAUGGUUAAGUGGGAAACGAUGUGGGAAGGCCCAGACAGCCAGGAUGUUGGCUUAGAAGCAGCCAUCAUUUAAAGAAAGCGUAAUAGCUCACUGGUCGAGUCGGCCUGCGCGGAAGAUGUAACGGGGCUAAACCAUGCACCGAAGCUGCGGCAGCGACACUAUGUGUUGUUGGGUAGGGGAGCGUUCUGUAAGCCUGUGAAGGUGUACUGUGAGGUAUGCUGGAGGUAUCAGAAGUGCGAAUGCUGACAUAAGUAACGAUAAAGCGGGUGAAAAGCCCGCUCGCCGGAAGACCAAGGGUUCCUGUCCAACGUUAAUCGGGGCAGGGUGAGUCGACCCCUAAGGCGAGGCCGAAAGGCGUAGUCGAUGGGAAACAGGUUAAUAUUCCUGUACUUGGUGUUACUGCGAAGGGGGGACGGAGAAGGCUAUGUUGGCCGGGCGACGGUUGUCCCGGUUUAAGCGUGUAGGCUGGUUUUCCAGGCAAAUCCGGAAAAUCAAGGCUGAGGCGUGAUGACGAGGCACUACGGUGCUGAAGCGACAAAUGCCCUGCUUCCAGGAAAAGCCUCUAAGCAUCAGGUAACAUCAAAUCGUACCCCAAACCGACACAGGUGGUCAGGUAGAGAAUACCAAGGCGCUUGAGAGAACUCGGGUGAAGGAACUAGGCAAAAUGGUGCCGUAACUUCGGGAGAAGGCACGCUGAUAUGUAGGUGAAGCGACUUGCUCGUGGAGCUGAAAUCAGUCGAAGAUACCAGCUGGCUGCAACUGUUUAUUAAAAACACAGCACUGUGCAAACACGAAAGUGGACGUAUACGGUGUGACGCCUGCCCGGUGCCGGAAGGUUAAUUGAUGGGGUUAGCGGUAACGCGAAGCUCUUGAUCGAAGCCCCGGUAAACGGCGGCCGUAACUAUAACGGUCCUAAGGUAGCGAAAUUCCUUGUCGGGUAAGUUCCGACCUGCACGAAUGGCGUAAUGAUGGCCAGGCUGUCUCCACCCGAGACUCAGUGAAAUUGAACUCGCUGUGAAGAUGCAGUGUACCCGCGGCAAGACGGAAAGACCCCGUGAACCUUUACUAUAGCUUGACACUGAACAUUGAGCCUUGAUGUGUAGGAUAGGUGGGAGGCUUUGAAGUGUGGACGCCAGUCUGCAUGGAGCCGACCUUGAAAUACCACCCUUUAAUGUUUGAUGUUCUAACGUGGGCCCCUUACCGGGGUUGCGGACAGUGUCUGGUGGGUAGUUUGACUGGGGCGGUCUCCUCCUAAAGAGUAACGGAGGAGCACGAAGGUUGGCUAAUCCUGGUCGGACAUCAGGAGGUUAGUGCAAUGGCAUAAGCCAGCUUGACUGCGAGCGUGACGGCGCGAGCAGGUGCGAAAGCAGGUCAUAGUGAUCCGGUGGUUCUGAAUGGAAGGGCCAUCGCUCAACGGAUAAAAGGUACUCCGGGGAUAACAGGCUGAUACCGCCCAAGAGUUCAUAUCGACGGCGGUGUUUGGCACCUCGAUGUCGGCUCAUCACAUCCUGGGGCUGAAGUAGGUCCCAAGGGUAUGGCUGUUCGCCAUUUAAAGUGGUACGCGAGCUGGGUUUAGAACGUCGUGAGACAGUUCGGUCCCUAUCUGCCGUGGGCGCUGGAGAACUGAGGGGGGCUGCUCCUAGUACGAGAGGACCGGAGUGGACGCAUCACUGGUGUUCGGGUUGUCAUGCCAAUGGCACUGCCCGGUAGCUAAAUGCGGAAGAGAUAAGUGCUGAAAGCAUCUAAGCACGAAACUUGCCCCGAGAUGAGUUCUCCCUGACUCCUUGAGAGUCCUGAAGGAACGUUGAAGACGACGACGUUGAUAGGCCGGGUGUGUAAGCGCAGCGAUGCGUUGAGCUAACCGGUACUAAUGAACCGUGAGGCUUAACCUUACAACGCCGAAG
rnacentral:rRNA from 1 species